rnacentral:tRNA from 1 species
AAAUAAGAAACAUAUACUUAUAAUGUAUUCAGUUUCGACCUGAAAAAAGGCUUUCAACCCUUAUUUA